rnacentral:lncRNA from 1 species
UUUGUGUUCUGUUAAAUUGUUCCUUUUAAAAUUGUUAUACGAUGAUGACUGAUGUACCCAUAUUUUGACUAUUUUAUUUAUUGUGUCUGUUUAGUUAACGCAUCAAUUUACAUAUAACGGAAUUUGAUGAGACUGUCAUCAAAGUAAGAGGGUUAGCGCUAUAAAACUAGGUUUAAUCCACCAUUUUCUACAUUUGAAAAUACCUGU